rnacentral:rRNA from 1 species
UACGUAGGGGGCAAGCGUUGUCCGGAUUUAUUGGGCGUAAAGAGCGUGUAGGCGGCUUGGUAGGUCUUGCGUCAAAACCUGAGGCUCAACCUCAGUUCGCGUGGGAAACCACCUAGCUAGAGUCCGGAAGAGGAGAACGGAAUUCCCAGUGUAGCGGUGAAAUGCGCAGAUAUUGGGAAGAACACCAGUGGCGAAGGCGGUUCUCUGGGAUGGUACUGACGCUGAGACGCGAAAGCGUGGGGAGCGAACAGG